ensembl:lncRNA
GUGGAGGCAGACCUGAGGCGUCGGGUUCGGCAGUGGGGGAGCACAGGAUGCCGCUCCAGAUGGCGGCUCCGUCGGUCAGAGCCCACCAAGCCUCCCCCGCGAAAUGGCUCAGGGUCCAGGAACACGCCGCUAACUGGCAGUGAAGGAUGCUAACAGGCCUCGGCUCGUCAUCUCACCGCUAGCGAAGCUGAGCGGCGCCCAUGGCCUCUUGGACCCCUUCUCGUUCGGCCCGGUAAACCCCCGGGUUGAUUCUGGGAUGCAGAUUCUGGCCGGCAUAGGAUGGAAACAUCUGCCGUCGGACGCAACAGGCCCAGAGGGUCAGCCACCUCGGGCGUCUACUGCAAGGGCACGUCGAAGCACGCCCAGAUAACCGAAACAGAAGACCCCUCGACUGGGGCCCUUGACCCCAGCACCCCGACUCACUGAAAAAUUCAUCAUCGCCGACCAAGAACACUGGUCUGUAUUCCGGUAUGAUGGGAGGAAAAAGUGAGUGGAGCUGCAUACUGACAACAGCGAGCUCACCUCCAGCCUCAGCACGUACAGAAUUCUAGAUUUUCCUUGAGUUAGCAGACACUUUGGUCCGAAGUGACAUUGGAAAUCGGACGAGCUGCAAAACAAUUUCGUAAUAAAGCC